GAAUACAUUUUUCCAUUACCGCUUACAGCAGCAACUUGGGGAAUACGGUUCCUGUCGUUUACCAUCUCUACGCAGCCAAUCUACUGACGAUGGCGAAUGAUGAUCGGGCUUCGGGUUGGACAAGCGAGCUUGCCGCGUGCAUGUUUGGUCGGGAUCGCAAAUAAUAGCGAUGCAGGACAACUGCGGCUAAUUUCUCCGAAGAUCGGAGGUCCUAUGGGCGAGUUCCCACACUCCAGAUUGGAAGAACGUCCGGAAAUGGAAAACUGAUUUCCGGAACGAUGCUGACGAUGCGUUGAGCAUGUCCUACUAGAUCUCAUGCGACGCCCUAAGUAUCUUAGAAAUAUCAGACAGGAAAUGUGGAGCUUGUCGGCCAACCUGCA
rnacentral:lncRNA from 1 species